rnacentral:rRNA from 1 species
CAGCCGCCGCGGUAAUACCAGCUUCUCGAGUGGUGGGGACUAUUAUUGGGCCUAAAGCGUCCGUAGCUGGCUUGUUACGUCCUCCGUUAAAUCCGGCGAUUCAAUCGUCGGUUCUCGGGGGAUACUGUACUGCUAGGGGGCGGAAGAGGUGGGCGGUAUUCUUAGGGUAGGGGCGAAAUCCUUUAAUCCUAGGAGGACCACCAGUGGCGAAGGCUGCUCACUAGAACACGCCCGACGGUGAGGGACGAAAGCUGGGGGAGCAAACCGGAUUAGAUACCCGGGUAGUCCCAGCUGUAAACGAUGCACACUAGGUGUUGGAUCGGCUACGCGCCGCUUCAGUGCCGCAGAGAAGUCAUUAAGUCUGCCGCCUGGGAAGUACGGCCGCAGGGCUGAAACUUAAAGGAAUUGGCG